rnacentral:ncRNA from 1 species
AGUUUGAUCCUGGCUCAGGACGAACGCUGGCGGCGUGCUUCACACAUGCAAGUCGAACGGAAAGGCCCGCUUGCGGGUACUCGAGUGGCGAACGGGUGAGUAACACGUGGGUAACCUGCCCCCAUCUCUGGGAUAACCGUUGGAAACGGCGGCUAAUACCGGAUACGACCACCUUCCGCAUGGUUGGUGGUGGAAAGUUUUUGCGGUUGGGGAGGGGCCCGCGGCCUAUCAGCUUGUUGGUGCGGUAGUGGCGCACCAAGGCUUUGACGGGUAGCCGGCCUGAGAGGGCGGUCGGUCACAUUGGGACUGAGAUACGGCCCAGACUCCUACGGGAGGCAGCAGUGGGGAAUUUUGCACAAUGGGCGAAAGCCUGAUGCAGCGACGCCGCGUGAGGGAUGACGGCUUUCGGGUUGUAAACCUCUUUUAUCCACCACGAAGGCUCCGUAUUCGCGGGGUUGACGGUAGUGGUUGAAUAAGCGCCGGCUAACUACGUGCCAGCAGCCGCGGUAAGACGUAGGGCGCGAGCGUUGUCCGGAUUUAUUGGGCGUAAAGGGCUCGUAGGCGGUUGAUUGCGUCCGCCGUGAAAGGCCUCGGCUUAACCGGGGUUUUGCGGUGGAUACGGGUCGACUUGAGGCAAUUAGGGGAGAUCGGAAUUCUACGUGUAGCGGUGAAAUGCGCAGAUAUGUGGAGGAACACCGGUGGCGAAGGCGGAUCUCUGGGAUUGUUCUGACGCUGAGGAGCGAAAGCGUGGGGAGCGAACAGGAUUAGAUACCCUGGUAGUCCAUGCUGUAAACGGUGGGCGCUAGGUGUGGGGUCACGUUGGUUGAUUCUGUGCCGUAGCUAACGC